rnacentral:tRNA from 1 species
GCGCCCGUAGCUCAGUGGACAGAGCGCUGCCCUGCGGAGGCAGAGGCCGCAGGUUCAAAUCCUGCCGGGCGCACCA